rnacentral:rRNA from 1 species
CGGCCGCGGUACCCUGACCGUGCUAAGGUAGCAUAAUCCCUUGCCUCUUAAUUGGUGGCUAGUAUGAAUGGAUAAACGAAAGUUUUACUGUCUCUAAUUAUUAUGUAAAAAUUAUCCCUCAAGUGAAGAGACUUGAAUAAUGUUAAAAGACAAGAAGACCCUGUAGAGCCUAAGAAAACCUUAUUUCUAAAAAUAAAAUUUUACUUAACUUAAAUAAUUACUCUUUAGUUGGGGCGACUUAGGAACACCAAAAACCUCCUCCCAAAACCAGACUAAUCAGUCACUUACUGAUCCGUAUAACACGACCAAAAAACCAGGCUACCUCAGGGAUAACAGUCUAAUCUUCCUUAAGAGCCCAAAUUGCCAGGAAGGAUUGGCACCUCGAUGUUGGCUUAGGGGCCCUUCAAGGCGCAGCAGUCUUGAUAGUAGGUUUGUUCAACCUUUAAAACCCUACGUGAUC